rnacentral:sRNA from 1 species
UAAUCGUAUCCUGCAAAUUCUGGUUGGUC